rnacentral:lncRNA from 1 species
CUGCCUCGGAGAACGACACCCCUUUCGGCGUGCGGUCACCGGGAAUUGAGCGGGAGAAAUUUGGGGCUUAGGGUUUCAGACGAGUAGGGGUUGCGGCUUGCUGUGGCUGCCGAAUUUCUGAGUCAACGACCUCCCUCUCCCUCUCUCAAUUCCCGCAACGCCGGCGCGAGGUCAGAGGUAAAAAUAAAAGAUCAGCCGCCGUCCACCAUUCACCGUCCACCUUGUUCUUCU